AUUGAACGCUGGCGGCAGGCCUAACACAUGCAAGUCGAGCGAGCGGCGGACGGGUGAGUAAUGUCUGGGAAACUGCCUGAUGGAGGGGGAUAACUACUGGAAACGGUAGCUAAUACCGCAUACCAUCAGAUGUGCCCAGAUGGGCUUAGCUAGUAGGUGGGGUAACGGCUCACCUAGGCGCCGAUCCCUAGCUGGUCUGGGAGGAUGACCAGCCACACUGGAACUUAGCCACCGUCCAGACGCCUACGUGAGGCAGCAGUGGGGAAUAUGGCACAAUGGGCGCAGGCCUGAUGCAGCCAUGCCGCGUGUGUGAAGAAGGCCUUCGGGUUGUAAAGUACUUUCAGCGGGGAGGCGUUACCCGCAGAAGAAGCACCGGCUAACUCCGUGCCAGCAGCCGCGGUAAUAC
rnacentral:rRNA from 1 species